rnacentral:piRNA from 1 species
GUGACACACAAAUUCGUGAAGCGUGCCUCCUC